UUAAUAAUUUUCAAUUAUGUUGUGUUGUCAUGCCUAUAUAUAAUAGGGUGACGUGGGAUCACCCCCGGGUAUGUGCGUUGAGAGGUGGAAUAGAGAUUUGAAGGUUUAUGAACAACUCUUGGCACAUUCGAGGACGAACGUAUGUUUAAGUGGGGGAGAAUGUAACGAUCCGACCGAUAGUUUUGAGUAUUUAUACUCUUUUCAACUAUUUGAAGUCUUGAAUAGAUUCAUAUGAUGUAUUAUAGCGUGUGUGAAUUUGUUGGUGUUGAUUUUCAAGUGUUUCACGAUUAGUUCAGAAGAAUAAAUUUUAUGUUAGAAGCUUAACUGAGAAGGGUUGACCGGAGUUUGACUUUCGUAUAAACGACCCCGCAAUAGAAUUUUGAUGAUUUCAAUAGUUCCGUAUGGUGAUUUUGGACUUAAGAGCAUGUCCGAAAUUUUUUUUGAAAGCCCGUAGUUAAAUUAGUCUUGAAAUGACGAAAGUUAAAUUUUUGGGAAGUUUGACCGGGGAGUUGACUUUUUGAUAUCAGGGUCAGAAUCCAGUUCUAAAAAUUUUCAUAGUUCCGUUAUGUCAUUUAUGACUUGUGUGCAAAUUUUGAGGUCAAUCGGAAUUGAUUUGAUAGGUUUCGACAUCAAAUGUAGAAGUUGAAAAUUCUUAAGUACCUUAAUUUUGAAUUGGGGUAUGAUUCGUGGUUCUAGCAUUGUUUGAUAUAAUUUGAAGUUUCGACUAAGUUCAUAUGAUAUUUUAGGACUUGUUGGUAUGAUUUGACGGGCCCCGAGGGGUUUAUUUGUAUUUUUGGAUCAUUGUUGAGAGAACAGUAAAGUUAAAAAAUUUGAGAGUUUGACCAUGGUCAAUAUCGGGUCAAGAUGAUCUCUUUUUAGUGUUUUGAGUGUGCGAGUAGGUCUGCAGCAUGUUUUAUGAUUGAUAUAAAUAUAUGGUUUGUGUCCGGGAGAUUCCGGAUGAGUUCCAGGGUAGUUUCAGAUUAUUUCGGAGAAGUUUGAGUUUGCUAGUUUCUGGUGGGCUACUAUUCAUUCGCAAUUGUGAACCAUUUAUCACAAUCACGAAAGUACUGUUCAUUCGUAAUUGCGAACCAUUUGUCGUAAUUGCGAAAACACUGUUCAUUCACAAUUGCGAACUAUUUAUGGAAAUUGCGAAAAUACUGUUCAUUCGUAAUUGUGAACCAUUUGUCGCAAUUGCGAAAACACUGUUCAUGGGAGGCACUGUUCAUUCGCAAAUGCGAAACUGGAUAGAAUGUUUAAGAUCUGAAAAUGGGACUUCGUCUCAUUUUCUAUUUUUACCGAUUUGGAGAUCGGAUUGAGGUAAUUUUUGAAAGAUUUUCAGAAAAAAUAUUGGGGUAAGUGUUCUUAACUCAAUUUGGUUAGAUUACCCGAAUCCAUCACAAUUUUUAUCAUUUAAUUAGUAAAUUAAGUUGGAAAAGUUUGAAAACCCUCUUGGAUAAAUUUGAGAAUUUGAGGGCCGAAUUAUUUUCAGAAUUUAGUAAUUUUGGUAUGGUUAGACUCGUGGUUGAAUGGGCGUUCAUAUUUCAUAACUUUUGCCAGAUUCUAAGACGUGGGCCUCACUAGCGAUUUUUAGCUAAAUUUCGGAUUUUUAUGAAAAUGGUUACAUUUUCUUAUGAAAUUAAUUUCAAUAAAUUUUAUUGACUGAAUCGAAUUAUUUGAGGCUAGAUUCGAGGCAUUUGGAGGCCAAUUCAUGAGGCAAAGGCUUAGAAUUUCACGGUUUGAGGUAAGUAACAGUUUUAAAUCUGGUCCUGAGGGUAUGAAACCCCAGAUUUAUUGUAUUAUGUGAGUAUUUUGGAGGUGACGCACAUGCUAGGUGAUGGGCGUGCACCGCAAAAAUUGGGACUUGGCCCAUUCCGUGAAACUGAAAAGUUGAAUAAGCUUGUUGUUAGCUAUGUGCCCUUUUUGUGCUAUAGAAAUUUGACACUAAAUCAUGCUUAGACUAUGCGUUGGUGCUGUAAAGACCCCAGUGGUCGUAAUACUUGUUGAACCUUCCUGCUUACUGUUACUUGUACUCAGUCGUUGUAUUACUUGCAUAUUUUACCUAAGUCUCUGUUAUUCCCUCCUGAUACAUUAUAUCAUACUGUUUUGGGCUGAUUCACCUUUAUUACUAAGGGCCGUGAGACUAGCGAGGUUAAUGACUGAGUGAGGCCGAGUGCUUGUUUGUGAGGUAUUGAUACCAUAACACGUGAGUGGUCCGUGCGGAUCCAGAUAUUAUACUAUAGCAUGUGAGUUGUUCGUGCAACACGUGAGUUAUCCAUGCGGAUUCAGAUAUUAUACUAUAGCACGUGAGUUAUCCGUGCGGAUCCAGAUAUUGAUUCUAUAGCACGUGAGUUGUCCGUGCGAAUUAUAGCGCUUGGGCUGUAGGAGUCCCUCCGGAGUCUAUACACCCCUAGUGUGCACAAAUACCUAUUGAGCUGAGUGAUUGAGCUGUUGUGAUGAGUUGGGUGAUUGUUGCCUUGAGAGGAUGUACUUGCUUUUCAUUUGUUGUUGCACUUAGUUGCUAUCUGUCAUUGUUGUGAAAUCUCUGAAAGAUUUUUAUAUCCGAAUUACAUGAACUUGAACUGUAUAAAAUUAAUUUGACUUAACCUGCCGGAUUUGAAAGCAUGUCUAUUCUUUGCUGGAAUUACAGAAAAAUAAACUAUAACUGUGUAGCUCGUCUCAGUUCUUUAUUUAUUAUUGUUACUUACUGAUUUGGUUGUACUCAUACCACACCUUGCACUUCGUGUGCAGAUCCAGGUGUUUCCGGAUAUAGCGGGUGUUAAUUCUUUCGCCCAGUUGAUUUUCUGGAGAUUCAGAGGUAGCUGCCGUGUUUCGCAGACCUUGCCUCUCCUUCUCUAUCUCUUUUGCUUACUUAUUUGGUCUCAGACUAUUAUGGACCGUAUUUUUCAGACUUGUAUUCAUAUUAGAUGCUCAUGUACUCAUUGACACCGGGUUUUGAGAGUAUUUAUAUUUGUACUUGUGAGGUUUUUCCGCUGAAUUUAAUCAUUACGUUUUCAAAUUUAAAAGAUAUGUGAUUUAUUGAGAUUGUUGGCUUGCCUAGUAUUGAUAUAUGUGUCAUCACGAAAGGUGAGAUUUUGGGCUGUGACAUGUUGGUAUCAGAGCCUAGGUUACAUAGGUCUCGCGAGUCAUGAGCAGGUUUAGUAGAGUCUUGCGGAUUAGUACGGAAACGUCUGUAUUUAUCUUCGAGAGUGUAUUUUAUCGUGCAGAAUUCAUUCAGCUUGAAACAUAACUCUUUGAAUUCCUUCAACGCAUUUGUGUGCGCAUGUGUGUGCUCGAUAUUAGUUGUGCAUCACCAGCUUGUGAUUCCAUGAACGAUUUUCGUGAUAUGUAUUCUGUGUUUUGGUGAUGGGCCAGUCUGGAGGACUUAAGGCCAGGGUUAGACCGCAGCUUAAGCUCGGUAGCUUCAAUUGUGUGAACUUGUACAUAUGGACUCAUAUUUCCAGUAGUGUUCCUAUGAGUGGAAUUUAUGGCCCGAUGAGCAGUUGAAUGGCUAUAUGAUAAGUAUUAUGUGAUUGCAGGAUGUGUUCAGAUGGGUUGAAUAUGACGAAUAAAGUUUACUUGUGACUCAAGAGUUUGCUAUUGUGUACUUGAUUUCUAUUAUUUGACAUAUAGUCUCGAAUUAUGAGUAUAUUGAAGGAUGUUUCACGUCAUUAAAUUGUGGGACAAAUUAAAUUCUCAUGUCUUGUUAAUAAGUUUGGACUCAGAAAGAUUUAGUGAUUGUGUAGUAAUUGUGGCUGCCAAAGGGUAUAACAAGAUGCCAAUUUGAGGCUAAGCAGGUGAGUUAUAAUGUUGAGUGGAGAGUUUCUUUUCUACCAGCGGAGUGUAUGUGUUGAGAUUUGAAUUUGAAUUUGGUUGAGAAAGUUGACUUCACUGUCACGAGAAUGAAGGCGAGCUUAGAAGAUGAAUUGAGGUAUUUUAUGGUUUGUGUUACCUGAGCUUGUGAAGAAUUUUUGUUGAACCGACUGCAGUAUUAUGGCAGUAAUAAAGUAUGGAUAUUGUGAGUUAUGGAAUAUUUUGUUCUAUGGCUUUGAGCCAAGUGGGGGAGCCUGCUAUUGACGAUUUGAUUUCAUGGUUGUGUAUUGUACUGGUUUCGGUUUAAGGCAUACAUAUGAUUCAAUUAUGACUUGCAAAGAUUGAUAUCGAGGAUGACUCAAGUAAGGGAAUUCCCGGAUAUAGGUUAUAUUGCACUUUAUGAGUAUAUUGAAAUUAUGGGAUGAGUGAGUUGUUAUUGUGAAGGAUGCAGUACGAACGGAGUAUGAAUUUGAUCGAUGGUGUUAAGGCAGGGUUACUUCUUUGGGUGUUGUUGUGCUAAGGGGGCAUGUGUCUUUCGGCCCGUUUGGGUGGUACAAUUUGGAUUUGAGGAAAGUGAGCGACUCUCGAGAGGGUUCUACUGGAUUCAAAAUAUAUAUGUGGCAAUUGAAAAUUUUUCGGAUUCGUAUAUCGCUAGAAUCAGUUAUUUACAUUGGAUGGUAUCGGGACUCGUGGUAAGUCUAUAUGGCUAUGGAUUAUAUAUUUCAGUAUAAAAAAGAAAGAGAAAUAAUUUUAAAAUUCACAUAAGGUCCUUCAGAGUGGGUGUCUCGGUUGUCAUACUUUGUGGUUCUUAAGAAGAAUACAGUGGCUUAUGGGCCUGAGGGCGGUGUAUUUUUAUGUUAGAAUGUCUUGUAGUGAGAUUUGGGUAAGGAUCAUAGUGUUCUAACAAAGAGAAGUUUCAACUUAAGAGUUAUUCAGAAGAAACUCAGAGAAAAUAGGAUAACUGGAUAGUAGGCUAGACCAACAUGGUAAUGGUAUGCUGGGUUAUUUUGGGUAAUUAUGAUGUGGUGAGACUUUACAGAUGUUUUGGUGGCAAUAUUCUUAGGUUUGGUGACCUGUGUGGCUUGGUCGAGUUAGAGGGGUUCAGUUCUGAUAGCUUGGUUAUGUACAAAUAGAUUUUAAAGUGUUCUUGGUGGUUUCUACUAGGGGUUGAACUGGAUAUUUUCUACCGGUGUGAGGAACAUAUUGUGUAUUGUGACUUUCUCCUGGAUGGGAGCAAAUGAAAGGUUUCUAACGAACCGGGUAUGUAAUUUGUUGGUGACUCAUAGUUGAUAAUGAGAUUAUCGUACUUUUCACAUGAUAGAUGUGGUGUGUUGUGCUGGAUUAAGAUUUCCAUGUAAAAGAUAACAGCUCAGUCUUGAAGGAAAGGUCACGAAUUUUGGACAGAAUGGCUAGUUUCAGAUAUUUAGAUGAAUGAUAUAACUGGUCGGCAAUCCCAGAUAAGGGUGCACAUUUCAGAAGGCGCAAUGUGUUUUGAUUUACGGAUGUUCAUUGGUAUUGCGGUACUCACCUGGUUGAUAGACUAUCGAUAUUCAAAUUAUUGCUAUGUGGCACGGAAGAAUUAUGAAAGUAUUCCUCAUGGUAAGAUCGUGAAUGGAAGAUGUGCUAGUCAUUCUAGUGCUGGAGUUGGGAUCAGUUACGGUGAUUCAUGUGUUUGAUGAAUUUGGAGACUGAGAGUUCUUAGAAGUAUAUUGUUUCGGGUUGCGACCUGUUUGAGGUGAGUAUUUUAUUUCAACUCAGUGGAGGCACUAGUUGCGUUAAUUAUUUGUGGUAGCUACGCGCUAUAAGUGUGCAUAUAUGUGAGGUGAGCCAAUGUGCGGGCAUCAGGGCAAGUAUUCAUACUCGAAAAAAUAGUUAGGCUAUGAUAUGCCUAAAGUUAAUUGUUAAGCGUAAAUUUAUAACGUUUCUCGUGUUCGUACCUUUGUUGAGAACUAUCUGGGCUAUAUUUGAGGUUACAAAGAGGCUAAUUCCCCCGAAUAAAUGGGGUAGUUACUAUUUAUGCGUUAACUUGCCGAUUUGAAGUGUGAUAGCAGACUUUGCACAUGCUUACGCUAUGGCGUGUUAUUUAUACCAAUCCAGGAGCAUGAGAAACUUAUUUCAUUAUCAUAUACAUGUGUACUUGUUUAAUUUCUCCUGUAUGAUAUGUUGGGACUGGAGGCCUGUAACCAUGCCAAGCGAUUUAUAUUAUUGGCACGCGAGUUGUCUGUGCCGUGUGUGGGAAUUCUAUUUCUAUGAUAAUUUAUCUGAUUUAUUAAUUUCCUUCCUCUACAAUUGUGCACAUACGCCUACAGUUAUCCUCUUCACGAAAUCUGAGGAGUUGGUUGUAACAUUGUGGUUGUGGUGGUGCUUGUUGAACUUGUAAUACGGUUCUCUUCCUUGAGACAUCUCCCAUAUUUGGGUACACGGAUUGCGCAGUUGUGGCUUGAGUUAUAUUGAUGUGGCGUGUAUGUGAGACAGUUAUGUUUAAUAAUAUAAGGUUAUUGGACCUAGAAUGGGUACUAUCAGGUUUGAUUACAAUAUAUUCGGGAGGAUAAUAUUGAAAGUCUGCUUAGAAGGUGAUUAUGGUUCUGGUCAGGGCGAGAGAGCUCCAUGGCUAGUUGAUAUGAUGAGUGGUUAUGAGUUUUGAUUGUUUAUUUCAUCAUUGGCAGUGUACAAAAGUUUUAGAAUGAGGUUCUAUUGAAUGUGUGGUUUUAUACUAGUACUUGGUUGGUUUUGAGUAGUUACUGUGAUCGGGAAUGGUGCUGCGAGUAUGCGAAUUGUGUAAUAUGUUAUGUGAUUAUAUCUGGCAUUAUGGUUAUGGUUCGAUGCAGCUUGUUCAUAUGUGAGAUUCGUGUCUUGAAAAGAAUUCUAGAUGUUAAAAAUUGGGCUCCCAGGGUUUUUGGGUUAAGGUUAAAUUAAUAAUUUUCAAUUAUGUUGUGUUGUCAUGCCUAUAUAUAAUAGGGUGACGUGGGAUCACCCCCGGGUAUGUGCGUUGAGAGGUGGAAUAGAGAUUUGAAGGUUUAUGAACAACUCUUGGCACAUUCGAGGACGAACGUAUGUUUAAGUGGGGGAGAAUGUAACGAUCCGACCGAUAGUUUUGAGUAUUUAUACUCUUUUCAACUAUUUGAAGUCUUGAAUAGAUUCAUAUGAUGUAUUAUGGCGUG
rnacentral:lncRNA from 1 species